CGGACGGGUGAGUAACGCGUGAGCAACCUGCCUUUCAGAGGGGGAUAACGUUUGGAAACGAACGCUAAUACCGCAUGAUAUGAUCGAACCGCAUGGUUUGAUGAUCAAAGGAGCAAUCCGCUGAAAGAUGGGCUCGCGUCCGAUUAGGUAGUUGGCGGGGUAACGGCCCACCAAGCCGACGAUCGGUAGCCGGACUGAGAGGUUGAACGGCCACAUUGGGACUGAGACACGGCCCAGACUCCUACGGAAGGCAGCAG
rnacentral:rRNA from 1 species